UCACCAGUGCUGGUUGUACUCGGUGAAUAUCACGACGACUUGUACGACUAUAACCGCCUCUGGGUCGUACCUUGCUGUUAACAUUACGACCUCUACCAUCACGCUGCCUCGGGGUCGUACUGCAGGUCGUAGAUAAAAGCAUCAGAUUUGAUGACUAGCCUUCCUGAUCUCCCUCAUCCACAUACAGCACCACAGACUCCUCGGCCACAGCUGGAGGACAACGAGAAAGUGCAUUAAAUAAUCAAUGGCAGCAGCGGAACACACCUGUCGCCUCCAAACCGACUG